CGGGGGGCAGCAGUAAGGAAUAUUGGACAAUGGUCGCAAGACUGAUCCAGCCAUGCCGCGUGCAGGAUGACAGCCCUAUGGGUCGUAAACUGCUUUUGUACGGGAAAAAACCUCUUUACGUGUAAAGAGCUGAUUGUACUGUAAGAAUAAGGAUCGGCUAACUCCGUGCCAGCAGCCGCGGUAAUACGGAGGAUCCAAGCGUUAUCCGGAUUCAUUGGGUUUAAAGGGUGCGUAGGCGGAAUGAUAAGUCAGUGGUGAAAGCCUGUUGCUUAACAACAGAACUGCCAUUGAUACUGUCAAUCUUGAGUACAUUUGAUGUGGGCGGAAUGUGUCAUGUAGCGGUGAAAUGCUUAGAUAUGACACAGAACACCGAUUGCGAAGGCAGCUCACAAAACUGUAACUGACGCUGAGGCACGAAAGCGUGGGUAUCAAACAGGAUUAGAUACCCGAGU
rnacentral:rRNA from 1 species